CAUGCCCCUUAUACGCUGGGCUACACACGUGCUACAAUGGGUAGAACAGAGAGUUGCAAAGCCGUGAGGUGAAGCUAAUCUCAGAAAACUAUUCUUAGUUCGGAUUGUACUCUGCAACUCGAGUACAUGAAGUUGGAAUCGCUAGUAAUCGCGAAUCAGCAAUGUCGCGGUGAAUACGUUCUCGGGUCUUGUACACACCGCCCGUCACACCACGAGAGUUGGUUGCACCUGAAGUAGCAGGCCUAGCCGUAAGGAGGGAUGCUCCGAGGGUGUGAUUAGCGAUUGGGGUGAAGUCGUAACAAGGUAUCCGUACGGGAACGUGCGGAUGGAUCACCUCCUUUCUAAGGAGAAAAAGUCUUUCUCUAUUCUAUUGGUAAUGUUCUUUACAUUACUUCUGAACAUUGGAAACUAUAUAGUAGAACAAAAAUAACUCUAACAAUUUCUUAGAGUUAGCUGUCAAAAAAAUAGGUUAAAAUAAUUAAGGGCACACAAAGGAUGCCUAGGUAGUAAGAGCCGAUGAAGGCACGUGGUAAGCUGCG
rnacentral:sRNA from 1 species